UACGUAGGUGGCAAGCGUUGUCCGGAUUUAUUGGGUUUAAAGGGUGCGUAGGCGGCCUUAUAAGUCAGUGCUGAAAUAUCCCGGCUUAACCGGGAGAGUGGCAUUGAUACUGUAGGGCUUGAGUGUAGUCGAGGUAGGCGGAAUUGACGGUGUAGCGGUGAAAUGCUUAGAUAUCGUCAAGAACACCGAUAGUGUAGACAGCUUACUAGGCUACAACUGACGCUGAGGCACGAAAGUGUGGGGAGCAAACAGG
rnacentral:rRNA from 1 species